GGGGUUUGGUGUGUGAGUGGUGGUUUAGAAAACUUACUGCUUAGAACCUGAACUCUGCAUAGCUGUGAGUCUGUGACUGUAAGAAAGGUUUGCGUCAGGGUUAUUAAAUAGAGAUGAUUUGUCAGUUUCAUGGGUUAAGGAGUUAAGGUAAAGGCCUUAUUAGUUUCAUUGCUGUAAUUCUACUACUAGAACACAAUUGAUGUUUCUGGAUUCUUAAGACUUGGUUUAUAUGGUAGCCAUGUUUCUUAGUUACUGAGGUGUGAUAUGAUAUUUUAUCCUUAAAUACUAGGAUGUCUCUUGUAAAGAUGCAUUUUGUUAAUCAUAUAAUCAUGGUGAUACUACUAACAUCUACUACUUCCUCAGCUCUGGAGGAAUGGCGUAAAAGAAAGAUGGAACGAGCCAGACU
rnacentral:misc_RNA from 1 species